rnacentral:hammerhead_ribozyme from 1 species
AGACAUCUGACGAGUUCUAAAUAGGACGAAACACGUGUCCUGGAU